rnacentral:rRNA from 1 species
UACCGCAUAACCAUAGUUACCGCAUGGUAACUAUGUAAAAGGUGGCUAUGCUACCGCUUUUGGAUGGGCCCGCGACGCAUUAGCUAGUUGGUGGGGUAAAGGCUUACCAAGGCAAUGAUGCGUAGCCGAACUGAGAGGUUGAUCGGCCACAUUGGGACUGAGACACGGCCCAAACUCCUACGGGAGGCAGCAGUGGGGAAUCUUCCACAAUGGGCGAAAGCCUGAUGGAGCAACGCCGCGUGGGUGAAGAAGGUCUUCGGAUCGUAAAACCCUGUUGUUAGAGAAGAAAGUGCGUGAGAGUAACUGUUCACGUUUCGACGGUAUCUAACCAGAAAGCCACGGCUAACUACGUGCCAGCAGCCGCGGUAAUACGUAGGUGGCAAGCGUUAUCCGGAUUUAUUGGGCGUAAAGAGAACGCAGGCGGUCUUUUAAGUCUGAUGUGAAAGCCUUCGGCUUAACCGGAGUAGUGCAUUGGAAACUGGGAGACUUGAGUGCAGAAGAGGAGAGUGGAACUCCAUGUGUAGCGGUGAAAUGCGUAGAUAUAUGGAAGAACACCAGUGGCGAAAGCGGCUCUCUGGUCUGUAACUGACGCUGAGGUUCGAAAGCGUGGGUAGCAAACAGGAUUAGAUACCCUGGUAGUCCACGCCGUAAACGAU